rnacentral:rRNA from 1 species
AGAGUUUGAUCCUGGCUCAGAUUGAACGCUGGCGGCAGGCCUAACACAUGCAAGUCGAGCGGUAGAGAGAAGCUUGCUUCUCUUGAGAGCGGCGGACGGGUGAGUAAUGCCUAGGAAUCUGCCUGGUAGUGGGGGAUAACGCUCGGAAACGGACGCUAAUACCGCAUACGUCCUACGGGAGAAAGCAGGGGACCUUCGGGCCUUGCGCUAUCAGAUGAGCCUAGGUCGGAUUAGCUAGUUGGUGAGGUAAUGGCUCACCAAGGCGACGAUCCGUAACUGGUCUGAGAGGAUGACCAGUCACACUGGAACUGAGACACGGUCCAGACUCCUACGGGAGGCAGCAGUGGGGAAUAUUGGACAAUGGGCGAAAGCCUGAUCCAGCCAUGCCGCGUGUGUGAAGAAGGUCUUCGGAUUGUAAAGCACUUUAAGUUGGGAGGAAGGGCAGUUACCUAAUACGUAUCUGUUUUGACGUUACCGACAGAAUAAGCACCGGCUAACUCUGUGCCAGCAGCCGCGGUAAUACAGAGGGUGCAAGCGUUAAUCGGAAUUACUGGGCGUAAAGCGCGCGUAGGUGGUUUGUUAAGUUGGAUGUGAAAUCCCCGGGCUCAACCUGGGAACUGCAUUCAAAACUGACAAGCUAGAGUAUGGUA